AGCGCAGUGCAGAUGAUAUUUUCGUAUUUAGUAGUUUGCCUGAUGAUGGUAAUAUUGAACAGUUCUGGAGCAUGAUUAUCAACUACAACGUCGAAAAUAUAAUUAUGAUUGUACAGAAGAAUGAAAAGAGUUCCAGUUUUUAUCCCAGUCAAGACGAUGUUUUCAAGGUGGCAAUGUUAGAAAUAGAAGUUCAGUCUUCCGAGAAAAUGAAUGACAACAUAUGUUUGCUCAGGUUUUCCUUAUAUGAUAAG